UUGAGUUUUUUGGCUCAAAGGAAGGGGAAGCUUGGCUGUUGAACAUGCUGAUGCUGGAGCAGUUCAUGGAGGAGCUCCCAGCGGGAACAGUGGAGUAGGUCUGCUGUCAUCAGCAAGUGAGCCAAGGGUCAUGUGUUGGGGUUGUUGGGGCAGCCACAGCUGGUGGCAGGAAGUCAGCUGAUCCCGGCCCCGAGGAGGAGGCCCUGUGGUGCGUCCCCAUUGCAGCCGCAGAGCAGUGGUCGCCAACAUUUAAUGACGCUUCCCCUUCUGCUGUCUGUCCACUGGUCCCAGUGGCUAUGGACACUGCACCCCACUCACCAGGAGGAUCGUGGCAGGAGUCUUAGAGCAAAUAAAGCUGUUUUGAGUUCACGUUCUGCCUGUGGGUCUGCGUUUGAGUCCUGCCUGUUGUGCACAGCCAAAUCAUGACAGUCUACAUCAAGCCUAAUGAUUUCCAGUCACCUUCUCAGAGACAAGUACAGAUGAAAACUAAAGGCUCCACUCCAACAAAUGCAGCAUGCCUGGUGACAAUACUGAAUUCUGGGUAAAAAACUGGAUCAACAGUUGUCUGUGACAGAAGUCAUCCCUCAGUAAAGCUAAUCAAGGAUGAGACAGUGGGUGUGAGGAGGAGGUGGGUGCUGACAGAGAGGUUUGGACAGAUGGACGGACAGACAGGCUGUGCUCUGUCAGCACAGUCUGACAUGAUGAGAAGGGACAGACGAAUGGAAGAACAGAAUUGGAGAAAGAAGUGAAGUGGAGAGAGUAAAGAUGAAGAACCAACACCAGAAGUGAAACUACACACUGAAACACACUAACAGUUCUUUCAGUCCAUCCAAUCCAACUUUUCCUUUUUCAUCUUGUUUGCUUAAUUGACUUUAAAUAAAAUGUAUAUCAAGUCAUGAUGUUAGGGGUAAAUGAUGCGUUUUAUUUCCUGUGACACAGUCUUGUGUUUCUGGUUUAAAAAUAUUUGAAAAUGGGGAAAAACUUGCUUUUGAGACAAUGUAAACAGACAAACGUUUUCUGAGAAUCACAAACAAUGAAACUCCAGGUAAAUGUGUUAAAAUACUGGUAGUUUAAAUG